GGGGUCGUGGGCUAGCUUGGUAUGCUUCGAGCCUUGGGCGCUCGAGGUCGCCGGUUCAAAUCCGGCCGACCCCA
rnacentral:tRNA from 2 species